rnacentral:rRNA from 1 species
GACGAACGCUGGCGGCGUGGAUUAGGCAUGCAAGUCGAACGGUAUCAUCCUUUCGGGGGUGAGAGAGUGGCGAACUGGUGAGUAACACGUAGGUUAUCUACCCUCAAGACGGGGACAACCCAGGGAAACUUGGGCUAAUACCGGAUGUGAGCAACUUUUUAGUUGUUUGAAAGGUGGCGUAAGCUGUCGCUUGGGGAUGAGCCUGCGUCCUAUUAGUUAGUUGGUGAGGUAACGGCUCACCUAGGCAAUGAUAGGUAGGCGGCCUUAACGGGUGGUCGCCCACACUGGGAUUGAGAUACGGCCCAGACUCCUACGGGAGGCAGCAGUCGAGAAUAGUCUACAAUGGUCGGAAGACUGAUAGUGCGACGCCGCGUGAACGAUGAAUCCCUUCGGGGUGUAAAGUUCUUUUAUAUGUGAGCAGUGCUUCUUAUAUUAACAGUAUGGGGAGAGAGAUAUUAGCAUAUGAAUAAGCAACGGCUAACUCCGUGCCAGCAGCCGGGUAAA